AGGGAAAUGCAUUCCAGAUUAAGACGUUAACUUUUCCAACUCUUUUCACAGGGAUGUUAAGUUGAAAGAAUUUGUAGGUGUUAGAAAAUAGGAGAAAAGAGGAUUUUACCCAGAUGGAAAGAGCAGUGAGGAUUAAAGCAAUUAGCAGAGGAUUGGCUUCAUCAAUGCCUAAAAUCCAGAUCUGUGUUCCUGCUUCCUGGCAAGGUUCCUGUCCAUGCUGGGUGUGUGUAAAAUGCCAGACCUCUCCUCACUCCAACAAUACAGAAUAGCCUAUCUGACAUAUGGAGGUGCACUUUUCAAACUUUCGGUAAAAAAAGCCGUGAGGUAUGGUUGUGAAGUUCAAACCUUUUCCCAAAAGGUUUGCAUGAUCAGUAUUUCAGGAAGCAAGUGAAAAACAGGACAGGUCAAGCAAUUGCAGUCAGGAGUCACGGAUAUUACAGAGGCAGCAGCGAUUUCCCCUUCAGUAACAGGUAGGUCAAUAAAGCUGUCAUCUGUAAUACUGGUCA
rnacentral:lncRNA from 1 species